rnacentral:rRNA from 1 species
UACGGGGGGGGUAAGCGUUGUUCGGAAUUACUGGGCGUAAAGGGCUCGUAGGCGGCCAACUAAGUCAUACGUGAAAUCCCUCGGCUCAACUGAGGAACUGCACGGGAUACUGGAAGACUUGAGUUCGGGAGAGGGAAGCGGAAUUCCGGGUGUAGCGGUGAAAUGCGUAGAUAUCUGGAGGAACACCGGUGGCGAAGGCGGCGUCCUGGACCAACACUGACACUGAGGAACGAAAGCCAGGGGAGCAAACGGG